UGUGUUUCCCAGCAUGACGAAGAUAAUUGUUACCUUCCUUAGUGUGGAACUUUGCAACGGGAGAAUCGGCCUGUUAAAUGCAGCUUGCACUGGCAACAUUUAACUGCAAAUGGGGUUUAAAACUGUAAAAUAUGCCGCAAGGGUCACUACGAGACAUCCAGAGCAUUCCAGACUGCAUUUUACAAGACCUGCCAUCUAAUGCAGCUUUUAGGGCCUGCUGAUUUCAUCCACCUUAGAAGCACAGUGAGACACUCUUCAGAUGCAAUAGCUCCACGGUGCAUAUGGUCCAUCUACUUCAGGACUAAACCAGGGAUCAGCAGGAUCCAGAGUACAACACACAACCUCUCCACUGCAGGAAACUCAGUGGUCUGCUAUUAAGUAUGCUUCAUUCCUGUCCUUGCUGUUAUUCUUGUAGUUGACCUCCAUUAAUAAUGUGUCCUUCUUACCAUUCCUUGGCCAAUCUGCACCAAUGUCCUCAAGUGCACAUAAGAGUGGUAUGUGUAUGUUACACAUUCUGUCUAUUUUAACUGUGUUCACCUGGUUAAUUCUGAAAAUGAUGUGAUCAUUGAUUUUGUUUUUUUUUUUUUAUUUUUAUUUUCCCUACACUAGUUGAAGUUCAUCCCUCUUCAACACCACCAUCUUCCCAUGAGAUUUUGCCAGGUGUGUGCUUUUAUGCAUCAUAUAUGUCAUGUAUGUUAGCCAUGUACACCGAUUAUAUACUUAUUUUAUGUAGAUUCCAGAAACAUACAUACAGUAGACUGCAAGUGAAGCCAUUAUUAUUUGUAACGCUGCAGUGAAAUAUCUACACCAUGUCUUUGAUGAUAUCCAACAUCUGAUGAAAGCACACUGCCCAGAUCUGUGUCUUUGUAUCUUGGAGCAUGUCAACUAUCUGUAUCAUCUGGCAGCCCAUUCAGCAAUCAUGAUGGUGUUCAUGAUGUGUCUCAGCAUGGUAGUAUGGCCCCUGGCACAGAGGAAAUUGAGUUGUUUGGAGAGUCCAUCCAAGAGUUUAACAUGGAUGUUGCAGCAGAUGUAGCCUCAGAUGUGGUGGUCAACCUGUAUAGCCAUUCAGAGUAUGCUGCCACAGUAGAUGUUGAACAGGGUGAGGCUGUUGACCAACACACUACAGUUGAAAGCACUGCUGCUGGUAGUUCUACAUAACCAGGAAUAGAGUUUCAUAGUAGAUAUAAGUGAGCAGCUGUUGUGCAUGGCCAGGUGUGAUAGGCUGUCCACCUCCUGCUGCAGGCAAAUGAACAGUCAAAGAAAUGGCAUUGUUUAGAUGUCCAUGCACUUGCCAGGGACAGAGGCCAUGUGGCACACCACUUAUGUGUCAUGCAAGAGGGACAAAAGUGCAGACAUGGUAAAAUUAGGGCUGCAUUGACUGCUCAGAAUGAGAGUUUGCUAGCUGUGGCACAGUCAGUGGAAACCCCGGCCUCUAUGGUACUGCAACAGUGUCACACUACUAGCAGGAUUCUGUAUUCCCUGACUAUGCUUAGCAGAUAGCAACCUAGGAGAGGCAGGCCACCUGUCUACAGAACUACCAUUCCUCAUUGAGAAUCACUGCCUGUGGUCCAACCUGCACAGAGUUCAAUGCUGGCCCAUCUGCUGUGGUCCAGCCAGCCAAGAUGCCUUCAACUCGCAAUCAUGCUCCCUCAUCUCAACAUGGGGUUGUAGCCCCAUCAUCUCCUUCGUGGCACAAUCAGGGUAAUAUGUGUCUGUACAUGGUCAGGGCAGAGAGGACUGUGGUGUGACAUAUGAGCAAUUUCACCUUAGAUUGCAUUAGAUUGUGUCCA